AUUCAUCUGACGAGUCCCGAAUAGGACGAAACAUGAACCUUGAAU
rnacentral:hammerhead_ribozyme from 1 species